GACGUAGGGCGCGAGCGUUGUCCGGAAUUAUUGGGCGUAAAGAGCUCGUAGGCGGUUCGUCGCGUCGGCUGUGAAAACCCGGAGCUCAACUCCGGGCCUGCAGUCGAUACGGGCGGACUUGAGUGUUGCAGGGGAGACUGGAAUUCCUGGUGUAGCGGUGAAAUGCGCAGAUAUCAAGGAGGAACACCGGUGGCGAAGGCGGGGUCUCUGGGGCAAACUGACUGACGCUGGAGGAGCGAAAGCGUGGGGAGCGAACAGGA
rnacentral:rRNA from 1 species